GUGAGGAAUAUUGCGCAAUGGAGGCAACUCUGACGCAGCCAUGCCGCGUGCAGGAAGAAGGCGCUACGCGUUGUAAACUGCUUUUAACCGGGAAGAAACCCCAGGACGUGUCCUGGGUUGACGGUACCGGAGGAAUAAGCACCGGCUAACUUCGUGCCAACAGCCGCGGUAAUACGAAGGGUGCAAGCGUUAUCCGGAUUCAUUGGGUUUAAAGGGUGCGUAGGCGGAGCGUUAAGUCAGUGGUGAAAUCCUGCAGCUUAACUGUAGACUUGCCAUUGAUACUGGCGCUCUUGAGUGCGCUUGAAGUGGGCGGAAUGUGCCGUGUAGCGGUGAAAUGCUUAGAUAUGGCACAGAACACCAAUUGCGAAGGCAGCUCACUAAGGCGAUACUGACGCUGAGGCACGAAAGCGUGGGGAUCGAACAGGAUUAGAUACCCCAGUAGUCC
rnacentral:rRNA from 1 species